GAGCUCGUAGGCGGUUUGUCGCGUCUGCUGUGAAAUCCGGAGGCUCAACCUCCGGCCUGCAGUGGGUACGGGCAGACUAGAGUGCGGUAGGGGAGAUUGGAAUUCCUGGUGUAGCGGUGGAAUGCGCAGAUAUCAGGAGGAACACCGAUGGCGAAGGCAGAUCUCUGGGCCGUAACUGACGCUGAGGAGCGAAAGGGUGGGGAGCAAACAGGCUUAGAUACCCUGGUAGUCCACCCCGUAAACGUUGGGAACUAGUUGUGGGGUCCAUUCCACGGAUUCCGUGACGCAGCUAACGCAUUAAGUUCCCCGCCUGGGGAGUACGGCCGCAAGGCUAAAACUCAAAGGAAUUGACGGGGACCCGCACAAGCGGCGGAGCAUGCGGAUUAAUUCGAUGCAACGCGAAGAACCUUACCAAGGCUUGACAUAUACGAGAACGGGCCAGAAAUGGUCAACUCUUUGGACACUCGUAAACAGGUGGUGCAUGGUUGUCGUCAGCUCGUGUCGUGAGAUGUUGGGUUAAGUCCCGCAACGAGCGCAACCCUCGUUCUAUGUUGCCAGCACGUAAUGGUGGGAACUCAUGGGAUACUGCCGGGGUCAACUCGGAGGAAGGUGGGGAUGACGUCAAAUCAUCAUGCCCCUUAUGUCUUGAGCUUCACGCAUGCUACAAUGGCCGGUACAAAGGGCUGCAAUACCGCGAGGUGGAGCGAAUCCCAAAAAGCCGGUCCCAGUUCGGAUUGAGGUCUGCAACUCGACCUCAUGAAGUCGGAGUCGCUAGUAAUCGCAGAUCAGCAACGCUGCGGUGAAUACGUUCCCGGGUCUUGUACACACCGCCCGUCAAGUCAUGAAAGUCGGUAACACCUGAAGCCGGUGGCCUAACCCUUGUGGAGGGAGCCGUCGAAGGUGGGAUCGGUAAUUAGGACGAAGUCGUA
rnacentral:rRNA from 1 species